rnacentral:rRNA from 1 species
GACGAACGCUGGCGGCGUGCUUAACACAUGCAAGUCGAACGGAAAGGCCCGGCUUUUGUGGGGUGCUCGAGUGGCGAACGGGUGAGUAAAACGUGAGUAACCUGCCCUUGACUGUGGGAUAACUUCAGGAAACUGGGGCUAAUACCGGAUAGGAGCUCCUGCUGCAUGUUGGGGGUUGGAAAGUUACGGCGGUUGGGGAUGGACUCGAGGCUUAUCAGCUUGAUGGUGGAGUAGUGGCUUACCAGGGCUUUGAAGGAUAGCCCGCCUGAGAGGGUGACCGGCGACAUGAGUACUGAGGUAGGGACCAGAAUCCUACCUUACGCAACAGUCGGAAAUAUUGCGCAGUGGGCGGAAGGCUGAUACGGAGACCCUGCGAGCGUGAUUCCCGCCUUUGGGGUAUGAACCACUUUGUGAUGUGACGAACCCUGCUUGACGGUAAUUGAUAAAAAAGCACCGGCUAACUACGUG